rnacentral:rRNA from 1 species
AGCAGCCGCGGUAAUUCCAGCUCCAAUAGCGUAUAUUAAAGUUGCUGCAGUUAAAAAGCUCGUAGUUGAAUUUCGGGACCAUCAUGUCGGUCGUGCCUCGGUACGUACUGGCAUUGUUGGUUUCUCCCUUCUGACGAACCAUGAUGUCAUUUAUUUGGUGUUGUGGGGAAUCAGGACUGUUACUUUGAAAAAAUUAGAGUGUUUAAAGCAGGCUUACGCUUGAAUACAUUAGCAUGGAAUAAUGAAAUAGGACGUUUGAUUCUAUUUUGUUGGUUUCUAGGAUCGACGUAAUGAUUAAUAGGGAUAGUUGGGGGCAUUAGUAUUCAAUUGUCAGAGGUGAAAUUCUUGGAUUUAUUGAAGACUAACUACUGCGAAAGCAUUUGCCAAGGAUGUUUUCAUUAAUCAAGAACGAAAGUUAGGGGAUCGAAGACGAUCAGAUACCGUCGUAGUCUUAACCAUAAACUAUGCCGACUAGGGAUCGGAUGAUGUUAAUUUUUAAUGACUCAUUCGGCGCCUUAAC